rnacentral:lncRNA from 1 species
CAGCAGCUGGAAGGAAAUGUACUUGUGCGCUUUGUUUCCUAACUCAAGCAGGAAGUGUGCGUGGGUGGAACCUUCUCUGCGCCCCUCUGCCUGGCUUCUCAUUGUGCAUGUCAAUCCUUGCAGGUGAAUGGAAUCGCGUUCCAUCCUGUUCAUGGCACCCUUGCAACUGUGGGAUCUGAUGGUAGAUUCAGCUUCUGGGACAAAGAUGCCAGAACAAAACUAAAAACUUCGGAACAGUUAGAUCAGCCCAUCUCAGCUUGCUGUUUCAAUCACAAUGGAAACAUAUUUGCGUACGCUUCCAGCUACGACUGGUCAAAGGGACAUGAAUUUUAUAAUCCCCAGAAAAAAAAUUACAUUUUCCUGCGUAAUGCAGCCGAAGAGCUAAAGCCCAGGAAUAAGAAGUAGUGGCUGGAGACUCUGGCUCAGCCAGAGUUGUUUCUCUCCACUCUGCCUCAUCUCUGUACGAAUUUGGGUCCCAGCCUUGUUGGGUUGUCAGCCAUGGACAUGGAUUUCAACCCCUGGAGAAAAUGAUGUCAUUGUUCAGCAGCUGAGAGCCCAGGCGUCCGCGGCGACUUGCCGUCUCUCCAUUCCACUGCCUGUUGCAGAGUUUUUCUGUAACUAAGGGGGUUGAGGUUAUUGUAGAUUGCGGGCACCGCCAGGGAUUUUGCAGCGCUUCAGUGUACGUGUUAGAGAAUAUUGGAAAAGCGUCUGUGAGCCCCGUGCUGUAUUUUGUAAUAAAGUCUUUUGCAGAUUGCUUUCCGAGCUUCCUUUGUCCUUUUCUCUUGCCCACCCUGUAACCUCAGGAACGUGCGUCCUGCCCAGCAUCAGCGUGGGGUUUUGAGUUGAGAUUUCAGACACCCUCUGGGAAAUGCAGCAACCUUAGGGGAAAGGGAGUCCCCAGCUGCGCUCACUUCUGCUGCGCGGAACGGCAGCCUCUGUGAGCCCUGGUGGGCAGAGUUUGAAUGUGUUUUUCCUUGCUUCCCUCAUUCCCAUCUUCAAAAUCCCCAGUGCUUUCUGGCCUUGCUGCUCAGAUUUCCGAGUGACUCAAAUGGGGACUGUUACUUGUGCUGGGUGACAGGCCAUUUGUGGGUAACCUCCUAAGGCCCAAGUGGGUGACACUUGCGUGACUUUCAAGUUAGAACCCAAGCCCCCUGCAUGGGAAUUGCCCGGAACUCUUACCCACCCCGGUCCCCUGCAUGGGAAUUGCCCUGAACCCUCAGUAGUGGUUGUUUGGCUGUUCUUUUGUAUUUUGUGUAAUUUUAAAUUCCUGGUUGGUAAGUAUUCAAAAUGAAAUUCAGCUGGCCUGAGAAAAAAUGUGACUUUUGGGUCUAUCACUAUAUUUCUCACCUGUGAUCUCAAACGCUUCUUAGGCCUUUCUGUUUGGACUAAUGUGUGAAGUCUGACUUGCUGAGUGUAAAAUUCUAGUAUUGAUAGUGUUGUAAGAUGUGUUUGCCUACUCAUAAAAAACAAUGAAAAUAAAA